UCCAAUGUGGUGUAGUGGCUAACAUUGCUGUCUUUCAUGGUCUUGUAAAAAGUGGACGUAAUUGCACAGCAGCCCGGGGUUCGAUUCCCCGCAUUGGAA
rnacentral:tRNA from 1 species